rnacentral:rRNA from 1 species
ACACGGAGGGCGCAAGCGUCGCUCGGAAUCACUGGGCGUAAAGCGGGUGUAGGCGGUCUAGCAAGUCAGAUGUGAAAGCCCACGGCUCAACCGUGGAAGUGCAUCUGAAACUGCUAGACUUGAGUGCCGGAGAGGGAAGUGGAAUUCCUGGUGUAGGGGUGAAAUCCGUAGAUAUCAGGAGGAACACCGGUGGCGAAGGCGACUUCCUGGACGGCCACUGACGCUGAGACCCGAAAGCGUGGGGAGCAAACAGGAUUAGAAACCCUAGUAGUCC